rnacentral:lncRNA from 1 species
UUUAUUGCCUUCUAAUGUAAAUCUGAAGGUGCCUGCAGAAACUAACUCAUCUUGUUCAUUGCAAAUGUUAUAUAAGGUCGAGUAUGUGAUAAAUAUUGCAAUCCACCUAUUGCACUUUUGUAUAAAGAAGGAUCUGCUACCUUCUCAACUUCAUUUUUGGAAUUACACUUGCUUGCUGACAUAGAUGUUUUUAAGAUGCUCAAAAUUGAACCUUUUCAGCACGUCUCUUAUGUACUUAACCUAAGUGAGAUGCAUAGUUGAUUCACAACUCCUUAAUUUGAUUCCCAAAAGUUGAUGUAACUUCCUACGUCUUUUAGUGCAAAUUGUUUGUUCAAGUUGUCAAUAAAGCACUGCAACAUUUUAUGAUUAUUGUCAAUAACACUAUAUCGUCAACAUACACUAGAGCAAAGAUCACUCGUGUCUGAUUUUUGUAAAAAUAAAAAUAAAAAUGAGCUGUCUUUUUUAGAUUUUAUACACUUCCACUCAAGAAGAGUCUUCUUCAAUUUUUCAUACCAUGCUGUAGGUGCUUGCUUGAGUCCAUAAAGAGCCUUUCAAGUUUGUACAUUUUGUCUUAUCAACAAAACCUUCUGGCUUACUCAUAUAGACUUCCUCCUGCAGCUUUCUAUUUAGGAAGGCAAUGUUUAUAUCAACUUGUCUGAUACUCCAACCCUUCGAAACUGCAAGUGCAAGAAUUAUUCUUAUAGUGGAGGUUUUUAUUACUGGACUGAAUGUUUCAUAAUAAUCAAGACUUGGGUCUGUAAGAAUCCUUUUGCAUCAAGUCCAGCUUUGCACUUCAAUAUUUUCUCUUUAAUGUUGCGUUUGAUUCUAAAUACCCAUUUGUUUCCUAUAAUCUUUUGACUGACCAAUGGUGGUACUAGUUUCCAAGUUCUGCUCCUCGUCAAUGCUCUGUAUUCAUCGUCCAUUGGUUCUUUCCAAUUUUCAUUUGACAAGGGCUUAGGUACAUUGUUUGGUUCAAGUCUGUGUUAUUCCAUUUUAUAUUCUUUGCAUUGAAUUAGAGUAGAUUUUUGGUCUAAAGAUACCAACUUUACUUCUAGUAAUCAAAGGAUGCUCUACAAUUUGUUUGCCCAAUUCUGCCGCUCUCUAAUUCAGCCCAUCAGUCAUUUCAAUCAUUUCGGUCUGCUCUAUCUGAUCAUCUACUAUUUCUUCCUGAUUUUUCUCUCUAUUGUGCUCAUCAUGUUUUUUGAGAUUUCAUUUUCAUUUACCUUUGUCACCACAUUUUCAUCCCAUUUUACCUGAUAAGGAUUGUGAAGUGUUGCUGUAGGAGAUGCAUCAAGAUAAGCUACAUCAGUUGAGCAUGUUGGGCUAUAGUUCAAGGAAAUGUGAAAUGGUAAAUAUUGAAUGAAGGUUUCAGAUUUCUGUGAGUUAUCACUUUUUUUUAAGAAAGACGAAUUUUAAUGGAAACACCUUUUCAUUGAAGACUACGUGUCUAGAUAUGUAAAUUCUUCUUGUUGGACUGAGGCA